AAAAAAGGCAUCGAAAUUGUAUUUCAUCCUUUAGUGGUAAGAUAGAUCUUCCACAACAAAUUGUACCAGUGACGCCGAGAAAACAAAACACACGCCAGUGACGUCAUGACCGAAAUGAAAGAGAC